rnacentral:rRNA from 1 species
UCCAGAGAUGGAUGGGUGCCUUCCGGGGAACAUUGAGACAGGUGCUGCAUGGCUGUCGUCAGCUCGUGGCUUCGUGAGAUGUUGGGUUAAGUCCCGUAACGAGCGCAUACCCUUGUCCUUAGUUACCAGCACGUUAUGGUGGGCACUCUAAGGAGACUCCGGUGACAAACCGGAGGAAGGUGGGGAUGACCGUCAAGUCAUCAUGGCCCUUACGGCCUGGGCUCACACGUGCUACAAUGGUCGGUACAGAGGGUUGCCACGCGAGGUGGAGCUAAUCCCAGAAAACCGAUCGUAGUCCGGUCGCAGUCUCAACUCGACUGCGUGAAGUCGCAUUGGCUAGUAAUCGCGAAUCAGAUAUGUCGCGGUGAAUACGUUCCCGGGCCUUGUACACACCG